AGCCAUUUUAAAGUGUGCAGUUCAACGGUAUUUAGCUGCAUGCACAUUGCCCUGGGCCUGCCUUUUGUCACACACUGUCACCUGGCUGUUUCAUUAGUGUUCCAAAUCUCCAUGCUUCCCUCAUUCUGACUCGCGCCACAUUCCACUGCGAAUAUUCUGUCACUGGCUAUUCUAUGAACGUCCUCGGGUCUCCAGCCUAGUACAGAAACCCAAGUCUCUCGAGGACAGAACCUGAAGUGGAACAGCAGGAUUGAGGCCAUGUCAUGCGGAGGCUAAGCUGCAGGCCAGAUCUUGAACUGUAAUAGAGUGCAGCCCUGAGCACGCAGCCGUGGUGCCUGAUGCUACUCUGCACGCGCUUUCAGGCACCAGCUACUGGUCCUGCUCAGCCGGUCAGAGCUGCAGGGACCCCUCUCCAGGCGCUGUCAGCGAGCGGCCUUUACAGUCCAGCUGAGCCAGUGGUCAGGGCUGCAGGGACCCCUCCCCAGCUGACCAGCUGUCAGUGAGUGACUGUCAGCAGUCCCGCUCAGCCUUUGGUUGGUACCACGUGGCACCUUCCCAGGCGACCAACAGUCAGUGAGUGACCUCGAGAGAUCUAGCUCAGUGCUAGUCAGUGCUUCAGUGGAUCCCUGCCCAGGGUGCCUACUUUAUCCCAGGCGUGACCAGAACCCGGCAGGAGAGCAGUGAGUACGAUGGCGGCCCUGAGGGAGAAGGGCUGUCCCUGGCAGGCAGUGGACCUGCAGAAAGAAGGCUGGAGACAGCCCCGGGGAGGAGUGGACGGUGGCGCACCCACCCUAACGAGGGGAGGGCCCGCCGUGCCAGCAACAGCGGAGGAGCACAGACUGAGCAUCGAGUUCAAAGGCACUAGGGACAACCCGCUUGGCGUGUUCACAAGCCAGUGUGGCCAAGGUUGAGCAAGUGAAAAGUUGGAAAAGAUAAAGGCAAAGAGAGAAAUGAGACAAGAGCUAUUCUGUUCAACAAGGCAGGCAACAGAGAAGAGACCAUCAAAUGAGAUCCCAACCUGAGUACCUACGAAAACUGCAACUUCAAAGAGACCACAGCUGCUAGAGUGAAGGCAGGGGAACAGGAGGUGGAGAAAAGACCAAGAGGUGACCACAAACUUGCAGUGAGCUCCAGGUGAGCCUGAGGAGACCUGAGACCUAUUCCCAGAUAAUCACUGUUUCCCAC